rnacentral:rRNA from 1 species
GACGAACGCUGGCGGCGUGCCUAAUACAUGCAAGUAGAACGCACAGUUUAUACCGUAGCUUGCUCCACCAUAGACUGUGAGUUGCGAACGGGUGAGUAACGCGUAGGUAACCUGCCUGGUAGCGGGGGAUAACUAUUGGAAACGAUAGCUAAUACCGCAUAAUAUUAAUUAUUGCAUGAUAAUUAAUUGAAAGGUGCAAUUGCACCACUACCAGAUGGACCUGCGUUGUAUUAGCUAGUAGGUGAGGUAACGGCUCACCUAGGCGACGAUACAUAGCCGACCUGAGAGGGUGAUCGGCCACACUGGGACUGAGACACGGCCCAGACUCCUACGGGAGGCAGCAGUAGGGAACCUUCGGCAAUGGACGAAAGUCUGACCGAGCAACGCCGCGUGAGUGAAGAAGGUUGUCGGAUCGUAAAGCUCGGUUGUAAGAGAAGAACGGGUGUGAGAGUGGAAAGUUCACAAUGUGACGGUAUCUUACCAGAAAGGGACGGCUAACUACGUG